AGUGAACGCUGGCGGUAGGCCUAACACACGCAAGUCGAACGGCAGCACAGUAAGAGCUUGCUCUUACGGGUGGCGAGUGGCGGACGGGUGAGGAAUACAUCGGAAUCUACUUUUUCGUGGGGGAUAACGUAGGGAAACUUACGCUAAUACCGCAUACGACCUACGGGUGAAAGCAGGGGAUCUUCGGACCUUUCGCGAUUGAAUGAGCCGAUGUCGGAUUAGCUAGUUGGCGGGGUAAAGGCCCACCAAGGCGACGAUCCGUAGCUGGUCUGAGAGGAUGAUCAGCCACACUGGAACUGAGACACGGUCCAGACUCCUACGGGAGGCAGCAGUGGGGAAUAUUGGACAAUGGGCGCAAGCCUGAUCCAGCCAUACCGCGUGGGUGAAGAAGGCCUUCGGGUUGUAAAGCCCUUUUGUUGGGAAAGAAAAGCAGCAGGUUAAUACCCCGCUGUUCUGACGGUACCCAAAGAAUAAGCACCGGCUAACUUCGUG
rnacentral:rRNA from 1 species